rnacentral:rRNA from 1 species
CGGCGGACGGGUGAGUAACGCGUGGGUAACCUGCCUUAUACAGGGGGAUAACAGUUAGAAAUGACUGCUAAUACCGCAUAAGCGCACAGCUUCGCAUGAAGCGGUGUGAAAAACUCUGGUGGUAUACGAUGGUUCCGCGUCUGAUUAGCUAGUUGGUGGGGUAAGGGCCUACCAAGGCAACGAUCAGUAGCCGGCCUGAGAGGGUGAACGGCCACAUUGGGACUGAGACACGGCCCAAACUCCUACGGGAGGCAGCAG